GGGGUUUUGGGGGUCCCCGUGGGGUUUAGGGGGGCCCUAUGGGGUCCUAUGGGGCUUUGGGGUCAUUCUGUGGGGUUUUGGGGUCCCUGUGGGGCCCUAUGGGGUUUUGGGGUCUCUAUGGGGUUUAGGGGGGCCCUGUGGGGUCCCUGUGGGAAUUUGGGGUCAUUCCAUGAGGUUUUCAGUUACUUAUGGGGUCAUUCUGUGGGGUUUUGAGGUCCCUGGGGGGCCCUAUGGGGUCAUUCUGUGGGGCUUCGGGGUCCCUAUGGGGUUUUGUGGGGCUCUAUGAGCUUUAGGGGGGCCCUAUGGGGUUUUGGGGUCCCCGUGGGGUUUAGAGGGGGCCCUAUGGGGUCCCUGUGGGGCUUUGGGGUCAUUCUAUGGGGUUUUGGGGUCCCUGUGGGGCCCUAUGGGGUUUUGGGGUCCCUAUGGGGUCUAGGGGGGCCCUAGGGGGUCCCUGUGGGGUUUUGUGGGGCUCUAUGAGCUUUAGGGGGGCCCUAUGGGGUUUUGGGGUCCCUAUGGAGUUUAGGAGGGCCCUAUGGGGUCCCUGUGGGGCUUUGGGGUCUUUCUGUGGGGUUUUGGGGUCCCUAUGGGGUCAUUUUGUGGGGUUUUGGGGUCCCUAUGGGGUCAUUCUGUGGUGUUUUGGGGUCCCUGUGGGGCCCUAUGGGGUCAUUCUGUGGGGUUUUGGGGUCCCUAUGGGGUCAUUCUGUGGGGUUUUGGGGUCCCUGUGGGGCCCUAUGGGGUUUUGGGGUCCCUAUGGGGUCUAGGCGGGCCCUAUAGGGUAAUUCUAUGGGGCUUUGGCGUCAUUUUUGGGGGUUUUGGGGUCAUUCUGUGGAGCUUUGUGGGGCCCUACGGGGUUUUGGGGUCCCUAUGGGGUCUAGGGGAGCCCUAUGGGGUCAUUCUGUGGGGUUUUGGGGUCCCUGUGGGGCCCUAUGGGGUUUUGGGGUCCCCAUGGGGUUUAGAGGGGGCCUUAUGGGGUCCCUGUGGGGCUUUGGGGUCAUUCUGUGGGGUUUUGGGUUCCCUGUGGAUCCCUAUGGGGUCAUUCUGUGGGGUUUUGGGGUCCCUAUGGGGUCAUUCUGUGGGGUUUUGGGGUCCCUGUGGGGCCCUAUGGGGUUUUGGGGUCCCCGUGGGGUUUAGAGGGGGCCCUAUGGGGUCCCUGUGGGGCUUUGGGGUCAUUCUGUGGGCUUUUGGGGUCCCUAUGGUGUUUUGGGGUCCUUGUGGGGUUCCUUUAUGUUUUUGGGGUGAUUUUGGGGGGGUGUCCAGGUGAAGUUUGGGGGUUCUCUAUGGGGUUUUGGGGUCCCUGUGGGGUUUUGAGGGUUCCUAUGGGUUUUUGGGGGACCCUAUGGGGUUUUGGGGGUCUGUUAUGGGGUUUGGGGGUCUCUGUGGGGUUUUGAAGGUUCCUAUGGGGUUUUGGGGGUCCCUAUGGGGUUUUGGGGGUCUGUUAUGGGGUUUUGGGAGUCUGUUAUGGGGUUUUGGGGUCUCUGUGGGGUUUUGGGGGUCCCUUAUGGGGUCUGCUUGGUGCAUUUGGGAUCUGGGGGGGCGGCGUUUUGGGUGCCCCCCCCACUGACCCCCCCCAUCCCCUAUAGGAUCCCCCCACCCGCACUUUGGUGACCCUUCGUGUGGAUGAGGACGGAUUUUACCUCUACUGGACCGGACCCAGCAUGGUGAGACCCCAAAACCCCCACCCCAAAACCUGAACCCAAAACCCCCACCCCAAAACCUCAACCCAAAACCCCACCCCAAAACCUUGCACCCCAAAACCCCAACCCAAAAACCCCACCCCAAAACCUGAA
ensembl:lncRNA